AUACGGAGGGUGCAAGCGUUACUCGGAAUCACUGGGCGUAAAGGACGCGUAGGCGGAUUGGAAAGUCAGAUGUGAAAUCCUACAGCUUAACUGUAGAACUGCAUUUGAAACUUCUAAUCUAGAGUAUGGGAGGGGGAGAUGGAAUUAGUGGUGUAGGGGUAAAAUCCGUAGAUAUCACUAGGAAUACUGAAAGCGAAGGCGAUCUCCUGGAACAUAACUGACGCUAAGGCGUGAAAGCGUGGGGAGCAAACGGGAUUAGAAACCCUAGUAGUCC
rnacentral:rRNA from 1 species